CAGCCGUAAACUAUGCGCGUUAGGUGUAUCGGUGACCACGAGUUACCGAGGUGCCGAAGGGAAACCGUGAAACGUGCCGCCUGGGAAGUACGGUCGCAAGGCUGAAACUUAAAGGAAUUGGCGGGGGAGUACCACAACAGGUGGAGCCUGCGGUUUAAUUGGACUCAACGCCGGACAACUCACCGGGGACGACAGCAAUAUGUAGGCCAGGCUGAAGACCUUGCCUGAAUCGCUGAGAGGAGGUGCAUGGCGUAGACGUCU
rnacentral:rRNA from 1 species